CAGGACAACGAAGAUGAGUGGCCCCUGGCCGAGAUCCUGAGCGUGAAGGACAUCAGUGGCCGGAAGCUUUUCUACGUCCAUUACAUUGACUUCAACAAACGUCUGGAUGAAUGGGUGACGCACGAGCGGCUGGACCUAAAGAAGAUCCAGUUCCCCAAGAAAGAGGCCAAGACCCCCACCAAGAACGGACUUCCUGGGUCCCGUCCCGGCUCUCCAGAGAGAGAGGUGAAACGGAAGGUGGAGGUGGUUUCACCAGCAACUCCAGUGCCCAGCGAGACAGCCCCGGCCUCGGUUUUUCCCCAGAAUGGAGCAGCCCGUAGGGCAGUGGCAGCCCAGCCAGGACGGAAGCGAAAAUCGAAUUGUUUGGGCACUGAUGAGGACUCCCAGGACAGCUCAGAUGGAAUACCGUCAGCACCACGCAUGACUGGCAGCCUGGUGUCUGACCGAAGCCACGACGACAUCGUCACCCGGAUGAAGAACAUUGAGUGCAUUGAGCUGGGCCGGCACCGCCUCAAGCCGUGGUACUUCUCCCCGUACCCACAGGAACUUACCACAUUGCCUGUCCUCUACCUGUGCGAGUUCUGCCUCAAGUACGGCCGUAGCCUCAAGUGUCUUCAGCGUCAUUUGGUAUGAGGGGUCCAGGGAGGCUGCCUUCCCAGCACCACGUUGCCCUUGUUCCUGAUCCUCCUCUCUUCCCCAGACCAAGUGCGACCUACGACAUCCUCCAGGCAAUGAGAUUUACCGCAAGGGCACCAUCUCUUUUUUUGAGAUUGAUGGACGUAAGAACAAGGUUAGUGCCUGAGAGGCAGUGGGGCGCU
rnacentral:sRNA from 1 species